rnacentral:lncRNA from 1 species
CAUCUCACCCAACCCCUUCUCUCAGACGAGCUAUGAAUCCUAGCUGCCGCCCAAGAAUUCCUACCGCCAUCUCCGACGGCCAACUUCCAAUUUGAACUAAAAUAAUGCCACAGCCCCUCCUUUUCCUCUUCAUCUCGAAUCCACAACCAGUUUCCCUCAAAGCCUACCCAAAUCCCUUGAAUCUUGAUUUGAAACCAUGAACUCUAGCACUGCCAAUAUCCCCGAUGGAGGUGCCACCCUAAUCCUAAAUCCACACUCAACUUCUCUAAAAUACCCCCAAAAACCUUUCGAAUUUUAAAUAUAGGGUUCCAGAAGUCUGAGUCCUAAAUUGAGGCAUGAGGGUCUAUUUUGAGUUUUGGUUGGUUUCGUC